AAGUAAAAUAUAAAGUUAUUAAUCAUUGUGAUUCAAUAUUAGGAAGCUGCAAGUGACACAACAUUGAACUCCUUCGGUCAUGACUUGGAUCAAAAUGGUAGAUCAACUUCUCAUUCUAACGUCCUUCAAGGAGAUUUAGAAUUAUCUAUUCUCUCUGGAACUACUAGUGAUAUAACUUUGGACUCCUUUGGUCAUGACUUAGAUCAAAAUGGUAGAUCCACCUCUAAUUCUAACAACCUCGGUGGUGAUUUACAGUUGUCCCUCCUAUCUGCAACUACUGGUGAUACAACCGUGAACUCCUUCGGUCAUGACUUUGAUAAGAAUGGUAGAUCCACUCCUCAUUCUAACGCCCUCACCGGU